rnacentral:SRP_RNA from 1 species
GCUGGGCACAGUGGUGCAUGCCUGUAGUACCAGCUUUUGGGGAGCUGAGGUGGGAGGAUCGCUUGAGCCCAGGAAUUCUGGGCUGUAAUGUGCUAUGCUGAUCGGGUGUCUGCACUAAGUUCGGCAUCAAUAUGGUGACCUCCCAGGAGCGGGGGACCACCAGAUUGCCUAAGGAGGCGUGAACCGGCCCAGGUCGGAAAUGGAGCAGGUCAAAACUCCUGUGCUGAUCAGCAGUGGGAUCGUGCCUGUGAAUAGCCACUGCACUCCAGCCUGGGCAACACAGCGAGACCCUGUCUCU